UACGGAUGGUGCCAGCGUUGUCCGGAAUCACUGGGCGUAAAGGGCGCGUAGGUGGCCCGCGCAGGAGUGCGGGGAAAGCCCGGGGCUCAACCCCGGGUCGGCCGUGCGGCCUGCGGGGCUGGAGCACUGUAGGGGCGGGUGGAAUUCCGGGUGUAGCGGUGGAAUGCGUAGAGAUCCGGAAGAACACCGGUGGCGAAGGCGGCCCGCUGGGCAGUUGCUGACACUGAGGCGCGACAGCGUGGGGAGCAAACAGG
rnacentral:rRNA from 1 species